rnacentral:rRNA from 1 species
CUACGUGCCAGCAGCCGCGGUAAUACGUAUGUCGCAAGCGUUAUCCGGAAUUAUUGGGCUUAAAGGGCAUCUAGGCGGUAUAACAAGUUGAAGGUGAAAAGCUGUAGCUCAACUAUAGUCUUGCCUACAAAACUGUAAUACUAGAGUACUGGAAAGGUGGGUGGAACUACACGAGUAGAGGUGAAAUUCGUAGAUAUGUGUAGGAAUGCCGAUGAUGAAGAUAACUCACUGGACAGAAACUGACGCUGAAGUGCGAAAGCUAGGGGAGCAAACAGGAUUAGAUACCCUGGUAGUCCUAGCUGUAAACGAUGAUUACUGGGUGUGGGGAUGAGAAGUCUCUGUGCCGAAGCAAAAGCGAUAAGUAAUCCGCCUGGGGAGUACGUUCGCAAGAAUGAAACUCAAAGGAAUUGACGGGGGCCCGCACAAGUGGUGGAGCAUGUGGUUUAAUUCGACGCAACGCGAGGAACCUUACCAGACCUUGACAUCGC